CGGUGACCGCGCUGCAGAUGGCGUCGGUCUACCAGACCAUCGCCAACGGCGGCGUCCGGAUCCCGCCGCGGAUCGUCUCCGCGGUCACCGCCC
rnacentral:tRNA from 1 species